UCCUUCCGUAGGUGAACUGCGGAAGGAUCAUUAAC
rnacentral:rRNA from 1 species